UACGUAGGGUGCAAGCGUUGUCCGGAAUUAUUGGGCGUAAAGAGCUCGUAGGCGGCUUGUCACGUCUGCUGUGAAAACUCGGGGCUCAACCCCGAGCCUGCAGUGGAUACGGGCUAGCUAGAGUGCGGUAGGGGAGUCUGGAAUUCCUGGUGUAGCGGUGAAAUGCGCAGAUAUCAGGAGGAACACCGGUGGCGAAGGCGGGACUCUGGACCGAUGACUGACGCUGAGGAGCGAAAGCGUGGGGAGCGAACAGG
rnacentral:rRNA from 1 species